UACGUAGGGGGCAAGCGUUGUCCGGAAUCAUUGGGCGUAAAGCGCGUGUAGGCGGUCCGGUAAGUCCGCUGUGAAAGUCGGGGGCUCAACCCUCGGAUGCCGGUGGAUACUGUCGGGCUUGAGUACGGAAGAGGCGAGUGGAAUUCCUGGUGUAGCGGUGAAAUGCGCAGCUAUCAGGAGGAACACCGAUGGCGAAGGCAGCUCGCUGGGACGGUACUGACGCUGAGGCGCGAAAGCGUGGGGAGCAAACAGG
rnacentral:rRNA from 1 species